UGGCUCAGAUUGAACGCUGGCGGCAGGCCUAACACAUGCAAGUCGAGCGGUAGCACGGGGAGCUUGCUCCUGGGUGACGAGCGGCGGACGGGUGAGUAAUGUCUGGGGAUCUGCCUGAUGGAGGGGGAUAACUACUGGAAACGGUAGCUAAUACCGCAUAACGUCGCAAGACCAAAGAGGGGGACCUUCGGGCCUCUUGCCAUCAGAUGAACCCAGAUGGGAUUAGCUAGUAGGUGGGGUAAUGGCUCACCUAGGCGACGAUCCCUAGCUGGUCUGAGAGGAUGACCAGCCACACUGGAACUGAGACACGGUCCAGACUCCUACGGGAGGCAGCAGUGGGGAAUAUUGCACAAUGGGCGCAAGCCUGAUGCAGCCAUGCCGCGUGUAUGAAGAAGGCCUUCGGGUUGUAAAGUACUUUCAGCGAGGAGGAAGGCAUUAAGGUUAAUAACCUUGGUGAUUGACGUUACUCGCAGAAGAAGCACCGGCUAACUCCGUGCCAGCAG
rnacentral:rRNA from 1 species